rnacentral:rRNA from 1 species
ACUCCUACGGGAGGCAGCAGUGGGGAAUAUUGCACAAUGGGGGAAACCCUGAUGCAGCCAUGCCGCGUGUGUGAAGAAGGCCUUCGGGUUGUAAAGCACUUUCAGUAGGGAGGAAGGUAGUGUAGUUAACACCUGCAUUAUUUGACGUUACCUACAGAAGAAGCACCGGCUAACUCCGUGCCAGCAGCCGCGGUAAUACGGAGGGUGCGAGCGUUAAUCGGAAUUACUGGGCGUAAAGCGCAUGCAGGCGGCCUGUUAAGUCAGAUGUGAAAGCCCGGGGCUUAACCUCGGAAUUGCAUUUGAAACUGGCAGGCUAGAGUCUUGUAGAGGGGGGUAGAAUUUCAGGUGUAGCGGUGAAAUGCGUAGAGAUCUGAAGGAAUACCAGUGGCGAAGGCGGCCCCCUGGACAAAGACUGACGCUCAGAUGCGAAAGCGUGGGGAGCAAAAC